rnacentral:rRNA from 1 species
GAGUUUGAUCCUGGCUCAGGAUGAACGCUGGCGGCGUGCCUAAUACAUGCAAGUCGAGCGAACGGACGAGAAGCUUGCUUCUCUGAUGUUAGUGGCGGACGGGUGAGUAACACGUGGAUAACCUACCUAUAAGACUGGGAUAACUUCGGGAAACCGGAGCUAAUACCGGAUAAUAUUUUGAACCGCAUGGUUCAAAAGUAAAGACGGUCUUGCUGUCACUUAUAGAUGGAUCCGCGCUGCAUUAGCUAGUUGGUAAGGUAACGGCUUACCAAGGCAACGAUGCAUAGCCGACCUGAGAGGGUGAUCGGCCACACUGGAACUGAGACACGGUCCAGACUCCUACGGGAGGCAGCAGUAGGGAAUCUUCCGCAAUGGGCGAAAGCCUGACGGAGCAACGCCGCGUGAGUGAUGAAGGUCUUCGGAUCGUAAAACUCUGUUAUUAGGGAAGAACAUAUGUGUAAGUAACUGUGCACAUCUUGACGGUACCUAAUCAGAAAGCCACGGCUAACUACGUG